UUUGACAGUCUUCAAACUGUUCAAACGCCUCCCUACCUGCCCUGGUGGUCCAGUGACGUUUGAAGUUUCAGACACCAUCAGACACAUGGCAAAGACAUGAAGAAACAACGCAUGGACUACUUGUGAACGAGCACAUCCUUGCAGACAGUGUAUGCCUCUGUGGUAAUAGCAAGGUGUCACCACUUCGUCCAUGACAUCGUCCACGAUCACAGAGACAUGGUCCAUGAUCGGAGAGACAUUGUUGAGGAUGAGGGAGACAUCGUCCACGAUCAGAGACGCUGUCCAUGAUCGCAGAGACCUUGUCAAAGAUGAGAGAGAUGUUGUCCAUGAUCAGAGACAUUGUCCCAUGCUUCGUAGAGACCUUGCGAUAGAAUCGGCGGAGACGGGGGUCACCGAUUUGACGGCACUGCCCGCGAUCGUGGAGACAUUGUCGAUGAUCACAGAGACAGCGUCUAUGAUCUCAGAGACAUCGUCCACGAUCACAAAGGCAUUGUCCGUGAUUGCAGAGACUUUGUCCAUAAUCUCAGAGACAUUGUCCGCGAUCACAGAGACGUAGUCCACGAUCACAUAGAGUCUUCGUAAAAUGAAGAAGUUCUUUGAGACCAGGACAGAGGCCUCCAGGUGUCACCACUUCGUCUACGAUCACAGAGACAUGGUCCAUGAUCGGAGAGACAUUGUUGAGGAUGAGGGAGACAUCGUCCACGAUCAGAGACGCUGUCCACGAUCGCAGAGACCUUGUCAAAGAUGAGAGAGACGUUGUCCGUGAUCAGAGACAUUGUCCCAUGCUUCGUAGAGACCUUGCGAUAGAAUCGGCGGAGACGGGGGUCACCGAUUUGACGGCACUGCCCGCGAUCGUGGAGACAUUGUCGAUGAUCACAGAGACAGCGUCUAUGAUCUCAGAGACAUCGUCCACGAUCACAAAGGCAUUGUCCGUGAUUGCAGAGACUUUGUCCAUAAUCUCAGAGACAUUGUCCGCGAUCACAGAGACGUAGUCCACGAUCACAUAGAGUCUUCGUAAAAUGAAGAAGUUCUUUGAGACCAGGACAGAGGCCUCCAGGUGUCACCACUUCGUCUACGAUCACAGAGACAUGGUCCAUGAUCGGAGAGACAUUGUUGAGGAUGAGGGAGACAUCGUCCACGAUCAGAGACGCUGUCCACGAUCGCAGAGACCUUGUCAAAGAUGAGAGAGACGUUGUCCGUGAUCAGAGACAUUGUCCCAUGCUUCGUAGAGACCUUGCGAUAGAAUCGGCGGAGACGGGGGUCACCGAUUUGACGGCACUGCCCGCGAUCGUGGAGACAUUGUCGAUGAUCACAGAGACAGCGUCUAUGAUCUCAGAGACAUCGUCCACGAUCACAAAGGCAUUGUCCGUGAUUGCAGAGACUUUGUCCAUAAUCUCAGAGACAUUGUCCGCGAUCACAGAGACGUAGUCCACGAUCACAUAGAGUCUUCGUAAAAUGAAGAAGUUCUUUGAGACCAGGACAGAGGCCUCCAGGUGUCACCACUUCGUCUACGAUCACAGAGACAUGGUCCAUGAUCGGAGAGACAUUGUUGAGGAUGAGGGAGACAUCGUCCACGAUCAGAGACGCUGUCCACGAUCGCAGAGA